rnacentral:lncRNA from 1 species
AUGGGGACGGUCAGCGAGCUCUGCGCCUCCAGCUUCCAGGCCUUCCUGUGCCCCUCGGUGGCCACCAAGGCAGGUAGGUGCCCCGUGCCCUCCGCUUCCUGCAGCGUCCCCGUCCCCAUGGCAGACGUGGCUCCGGCUCCAUAUGGCUCGUGCCAUCGGCGGCACAGAGAGUCCCGGCCGUCUCGCCGCCCCCGUGUGCUGCCGGCCUCAGGCCCCCGCAAGCACGGAUCCGGCAGGACGGCUGGGUGCUGGGCACUCCCCACGAUGCUGGUGCGGGCAGAGCCGGGGAGCCCAUGGCAGCAGCCAGUGGGUGCCUGCAGCACGGUGUGGCUGAGCCCCGUCCUGCCCCAGCCCCUUGCCCUCCUGCCUCCGGCCCUGCCGGGGGCAAUGCCCUUGCUGCAGCCCCGCUUCAGAGCAGGAGUGAGCGUGCGUGGCUGCCUUCUCCAAAGGAAACCUGCCCAGGGCAGCCCAGUGCCCGCUGCGUCGGGGCUGGCACCGCAGGCUGUCAGCGCCUGGGAGCUGCUGCUGCUGUCCCUGGGCUCCUGCUCGCAGGCUGGGACCUGGGGCGGGCUGAGAGCAGCUCCCGGCAGCGCUGCCUGGGCUGAGGCCGAGCACGGUGAGAGGUGCCGGCGUGGAGGGCGAGCGAGGUGCAUGGCAGGGGGUGCAGCACACGACGCAGGGCUGCAGCACGGCCCAGCCGUCAGUGGCUCGGUGAGAGUGGAUGUGGCCAAGCUGCUGCUCGCGGGCCACGUCGUGUGCCCUGGUGGUGCCCCAGCCCUGCGGCUGGGCCAGGGGCCCCCGAGCCUGGAACUGGCGGGGAGCGAGGCAGCGGCUGUGGGGUGCAGGGCCUGGGGGUGCAGGAGCCGGGUGACGGGGCAGGGCUGCUCCCGAGGGGCUGGAGGGCCCUGGCCAGCUCUCGGCGCUGGGCCUGGCUGCCUGGGAGGGUCUUUCCUGGAGCCACCCGACCCCAGCCCUUCUCCUGACGCACCUCGGCUGUCUGUGGGGAAGGACGGGGCUGACGCAACCCAGGAUGUGCACAGAGCACGGUGA